rnacentral:rRNA from 1 species
AAGUCGAACGGUGAUGCCCAGCUUGCUGGGUGGAUCAGUGGCGAACGGGUGAGUAACACGUGAGCAACCUGCCCCUCACUUCGGGAUAAGCCUUGGAAACGGGGUCUAAUACCGGAUAUGAGCACCUUCCGCAUGGUGGGUGUUGGAAAGUUUUUCGGUGGGGGAUGGGCUCGCGGCCUAUCAGCUUGUUGGUGGGGUAAUGGCCUACCAAGGCGUCGACGGGUAGCCGGCCUGAGAGGGCGACCGGCCACACUGGGACUGAGACACGGCCCAGACUCCUACGGGAGGCAGCAGUGGGGAAUAUUGCACAAUGGGCGAAAGCCUGAUGCAGCGACGCCACGUGAGGGAUGACGGCCUUCGGGUUGUAAACCUCUUUCAGCAGGGAAGAAGCGAGAGUGACGGUACCUGCAGAAGAAGCGCCGGCUAACUACGUGCCAGCAGCCGCGGUAAUACGUAGGGCGCAAGCGUUGUCCGGAAUUAUUGGGCGUAAAGAGCUCGUAGGCGGUCUGUCGCGUCUGGUGUGAAAUCCCAUGGCUCAACUGUGGGCUUGCAUCGGGUACGGGCAGACUAGAGUGCUGUAGGGGAGACUGGAAUUCCUGGUGUAGCGGUGGAAUGCGCAGAUAUCAGGAGGAACACCGAUGGCGAAGGCAGGUCUCUGGGCAGUUACUGACGCUGA